CUGUAAAUGGUUCUCUGUCCUGUGUCACUGGCCUGGCUCAUGUGACGCUUCUCUUUUUCUUUAGGGAUCUCUCUUAUUACUGGGAAGAUGUACCUUGUAGCAUGGACUUGAAAUCAGUUUGCUGUACAUGCUAUGUUAGAGCCAUGUAGCACAGCAUGCCAUUUGGUGUCUGAAUAUAAUGUGCCAUGUUGCAACAUUCAUGGUUCUCUUUAACAAACUGAAAGCCUACCGUUUUUGUUUUGUCCUCGAAUCUCUUUUGUUUCAGUGAAAGUGGUAAAAAGAGUCCCUUUGGCAUCAAUAUAUGUCUGCUUUUUGGAAAAUUAUUGUGGUAAGAUCAAUUGAUAUAGCAUUCAAAAAGUUCUGUGGGUAGGGUGUGGCAAUGUCAAUCAUCAGAUACUUGGGAAUUGCUGAGUUGCUACCAGGGCAAGUUCUGUAGAUAUGAGAUAUUGGGAGAGCCACAACAGGCUUGGAAAGGAUGACAUUAGGGAAUUUCUGCUUUGAGGCAUUUGUGAAGUCUCAGAUGACAGAUGCAUCCUUGUGGCUGCUCAUGGUUGAGGACAGCUUGGGGGCCAUACAGGGGCUCGCAGCCCUUUGGUUAAGGACAGCUUUUCCCCAGUAUGGAACCCAUCCUAAGCGUGAAGGCCAUCUCCUCUGUUUGGUGUGAGCCAACUGGCAAGCUCCCAGCUUUGAAGUGAAGUUCAGCCCUUUGAAGUCUCAGUGACAUAUUCAGAUCAUGCCAGCCCUAGAGACGCGUCUUCCUGCAUCUGUACAUUAGCUCUGCCAGUUGGACUAUUGUCUUGUAACUGGGCGUCUUCUGUGGUGAAUAAAAAAGCUGUGAAUUUGAGUGUUGGGCUGUGUGCUGAGGAGCAGAUAAGCUCUUUGUAGCCCAAACUUGAAACAGCAAGUUCCAUAUAUGCAUUUUUACAUGGCUGAUGCUGAGGACUAAGUCACUGGUCGUUGUCAUGUAGAUUGCAGAGAUUAUAGUAAUGCACUGACAUAAAGUGUUGCCUUUCCCAGUGAUUACAGAUAGCUGGUCUAAGAAGAGGCUAUACUGCCCCAAACAAGAAAAUAGUAUUAAAUGAGGAAUUAUGGGUGCAAUUCUUGGAUCUAUGGGGCCUGGCGUUGGUUCAGGCGCAGGAGAUGUCAUGUGAUAGCCCAAAUUGGAUCGUUUUGCUUCAUAAUAAAUUGAUAGAACCUGUCAUAAACCUGAAGUCAGAAAUGAAUAGUUAGGAGCUGGGAAUCUCCUGCAGAAACCUAUAUGUGGAACUUUGGAUUAGGAGAUGAUCGUUAAGAUCUUUUCCAACCUGAGUAAUUCUAUGAUUCUAUGACUUGAGUACUGUGUGGAGGAACCUAAGGCUGGGAGUUCAUCUAUCUUUGAGUAGAAAAGAUGAUAAUAGGUAUUACUGACAUACUCUACAUAAUGUUGACUGGAAGUGGAGACACACUCUCGCUGUUUCUUUUUCAGGGGUCAGAGACAGGAUCAGAGUAUUCAAGAGGAGAUGCAGUGGGAUCAUGAUGCAGUCAGUAUGAAAGAGUGCUAGGAGGCUUUAUGAACUUUUGCUUAUAGGUUCAUUAUUAUGCCUGAAAGAAGUAUUAACCGAGGCUCUGGGUGCAUCUGCAUACCGUGCUGAGAGGCAGAUAGGAGUUUCUUUGAGAAAUAACGAAACUGAGAUGAGAAAUGAAUGGGACCGAUUCAGGUGGAAUCAGGUGGAUUCAGGACACACACCUCUGUAGCAAGGUAUCAGCGGAGUUGCAUUUUUAACCUAAAUCUGGAAAUUCAACCCAGCAUUUCUGAGUUUGUGUUUUACUUGGAUCAUUUUGCAUUUCUUCUUUAGGGUGUUUAUUGGUGCAGUGUUCUCUGUAUCCCCACAGCUUCUCACUUCAAGGCUCUUCAAACACUCCUGUGAGGCAGGUUGUGCUUCUGGCCUUCUGGUGAAGGAAGGAACAGAGCUUCAGAGCAUUUGUUGAAAUUUCUGGAACUUAAUAAAGUCCAUGUUAUUUAUAUGAAACUUCUUCCAAAAGAAAAUGCCAUUUUGGAAAAGAGGAGAGGUGGAGAAAAAAUGGAAAUAUAAAAAGCUUUAAAUAAUUUGUUCUUCCCUAUAACGCCAGACAGCAUGCAGGUGCAGUCAUUCAUGCUGACCAGUGCCUUUGCCUUUGCAGAAAGGCCUGGUGAUUUCUGGUCUUGUGCAGCUGAGAGUCUGUAAGAUGUUUCUGGUUUUAUGCUAGGAAUGAGUUCUUGUAGCAUGGCCCUUUGCAGGAAUGUUGAUGACCACUGUUGAAGUGAUUUAAUAUUAGCUGCUAGCUGUUACAAUAUACUACUGUGUUCCAAGCAA
rnacentral:lncRNA from 1 species